AACGAACGCUGGCGGCAUGCCUAACACAUACAAGUCGAACGAGACCUUCGGGUCUAGUGGCGCACGGGUGCGUAACGCGUGGGAAUCUGCCCUAGGGUGCGGAAUAACUCGGAGAAAUCCGUGCUAAUACCGCAUAAUGUCUUCGGACCAAAGAUUUAUCGCCCUGGGAUGAGCCCGCGUAGGAUUAGCUAGUUGGUGGGGUAAAGGCCUACCAAGGCGACGAUCCUUAGCUGGUCUGAGAGGAUGAUCAGCCACACUGGGACUGAGACACGGCCCAGACUCCUACGGGAGGCAGCAGUGGGGAAUAUUGGACAAUGGGCGAAAGCCUGAUCCAGCAAUGCCGCGUGAGUGAUGAAGGCCUUAGGGUCGUAAAGCUCUUUUACCAGGGAUGAUAAUGACAGUACCUGGAGAAUAAGCUCCGGCUAACUCCGUG
rnacentral:rRNA from 1 species